rnacentral:rRNA from 1 species
AAUGAACGCUGGCGGCAUGCCUAACACAUGCAAGUCGAACGAAGGCUUCGGCCUUAGUGGCGCACGGGUGCGUAACGCGUGGGAAUCUGCCCUUGGGUUCGGAAUAACAGUUAGAAAUGACUGCUAAUACCGGAUGAUGUCGUAAGACCAAAGAUUUAUCGCCCCAGGAUGAGCCCGCGUAGGAUUAGCUAGUUGGUGGGGUAAAGGCCUACCAAGGCGACGAUCCUUAGCUGGUCUGAGAGGAUGAUCAGCCACACUGGGACUGAGACACGGCCCAGACUCCUACGGGAGGCAGCAGUGGGGAAUAUUGGACAAUGGGCGAAAGCCUGAUCCAGCAAUGCCGCGUGAGUGAUGAAGGCCUUAGGGUUGUAAAGCUCUUUUACCCGGGAUGAUAAUGACAGUACCGGGAGAAUAAGCUCCGGCUAACUUCGUG